UACGAAGGGGGCUAGCGUUGUUCGGAAUUACUGGGCGUAAAGCGCGCGCAGGCGGGUCUUUUAAGUCAGGGGUGAAAUCCUGGAGCUCAACUCCAGAACUGCCUUUGAUACUGGCGAUCUUGAGUCCGGGAGAGGUGAGUGGAACUGCGAGUGUAGAGGUGAAAUUCGUAGAUAUUCGCAAGAACACCAGUGGCGAAGGCGGCUCACUGGCCCGGUACUGACGCUGAGGUGCGAAAGCGUGGGGAGCAAACAGG
rnacentral:rRNA from 1 species